rnacentral:rRNA from 1 species
CAGUCGAGCGGUAGAGAGAGCUUGCUUCUCUUGAGAGCGGCGGACGGGUGAGUAAUACCUAGGAAUCUGCCUGAUAGUGGGGGAUAACGUUCGGAAACGGACGCUAAUACCGCAUACGUCCUACGGGAGAAAGCAGGGGACCUUCGGGCCUUGCGCUAUCAGAUGAGCCUAGGUCGGAUUAGCUAGUUGGUGAGGUAAUGGCUCACCAAGGCUACGAUCCGUAACUGGUCUGAGAGGAUGAUCAGUCACACUGGAACUGAGACACGGUCCAGACUCCUACGGGAGGCAGCAGUGGGGAAUAUUGGACAAUGGGCGAAAGCCUGAUCCAGCCAUGCCGCGUGUGUGAAGAAGGUCUUCGGAUUGUAAAGCACUUUAAGUUGGGAGGAAGGGCAUUAACCUAAUACGUUAGUGUCUUGACGUUACCGACAGAAUAAGCACCGGCUAACUCUGUGCCAGCAGCCGCGGUAAUACAGAGGGUGCAAGCGUUAAUCGGAAUUACUGGGCGUAAAGCGCGCGUAGGUGGUUUGUUAAGUUGAAUGUGAAAUCCCCGGGCUCAACCUGGGGAACUGCAUCCAAAACUGGCAAGCUAGAGUAUGGUAGAGGGUAGUGGAAUUUCCUGUGUAGCGGUGAAAUGCGUAGAUAUAGGAAGGAACACCAGUGGCGAAAGGCGACUACCUGGACUGAUACUGACACUGAGGUGCGAAAGCGUGGGGAGCAAACAGGAUUAGAUACCC